rnacentral:rRNA from 1 species
UACGUAGGGCGCAAGCGUUAUCCGGAAUUAUUGGGCGUAAAGAGCUCGUAGGCGGUCUGUCGCGUCGGUCGUGAAAAACUUGGGGCUUAACCCUGAGCUUGCGGUCGAUACGGGCAUGACUGGAGUUCGGUAGGGGAGACUGGAAUUCCUGGUGUAGCGGUGAAAAUGCGCAGAUAUCAGGAGGAACACCGGUGGCGAAAGGGCGGGGGUCUCUGGGGGCCCGA